rnacentral:rRNA from 1 species
UGCGUAGGCGGCGGCAUAAGUCAGAAGUGAAAGUUGGCAGCUUAACUGCAAAAUUGCUUUUGAUACUGUGUUGCUUGAAUCACGUUGAGGCUGGCGGAAUGUGGCAUGUAGCGGUGAAAUGCUUAGAUAUGCCAUAGAACACCAAUUGCGGAGGCAGCUGGCUAGACGUGUAUUGACGCUGAGGCACGAAAGCGUGGGGAGCGAACAGGAUUAGAUACCCUGGUAGUCC